UGCAAGGUUGCACGGCAUCAAGAAGGCGUGUACAAGUGAAAAUUGAGGUAACACCUGCGAUGUCCUUGAUACUUUGAUAUGCUAUACUGCAAAAUUUGUUCUAGUUGCACCUUACUCCUUUUUUUUUGGGUUUUGCAGGCUGUAACUUCCAUACUGGCUACUGUUGAUGCAAUGUAGCUGCUCUUCUGCUAGUUCUUCUCCUUUUAGCUUGCAUAUGGUUUACUGUACUAGCUGAUGCUGAGGCUUCCUUCACUACAGAACUACAAAAAUAGUUACAGAACUUCAAACAUAUCAUUGGCAUUUUCAUUUUCAUGUUCAUGUCACACUGCCAAACACAUCCUCUGCUAUAGGCCAUUUGUUACUUGUUAUCUAUUUGGAAGGCUCUGAAUUAUGCAUCUAACUACAAGAGAGACUUAAUUUGGCCAGUUUCCCAUGUUUAGCAGAAUUAGGCAAUUAGGCAUCUAGAUAGAUGAUUUCCCUUUCAUUUUCCCAAUCAACGACUAAACCUACCAAUUAAUCUUCGCUGUUGGGCUUGCGGGAACAAUUGCGCACAGCUUGCAAACGAAAUUCAACAAAGAGAACCCUCACAUACCUCCAUCCAUCGAAGACGCCGGCGGCCGGCGGCCACCGUGUUUCAUCCUCGAGAGACGGUGAGCAGCAGGAGGGCCGGGCCUCCCGUGCUCCGGCGCUGCGCAGCUACCCAGCCUUCUCGCCCUCCUCACCGCAGGCUCAUUCUGCAGCACAGCUCCGGCGAACCGGGUAGGUGGCCGCGCCGACUCGCCUCAGUUUCAAACGCGAGGCAGCUCGCUCGGCUCUUAAGAUCCGAUUAAUCCGGCGAGCCUCCUCCGCUUCCUUUCUGCUGGAUCCAGGGGAGUGGACGGGACGGGGCUUUGCGCUUCCCGCCGGGCCGCGCCGGCGGGGAGGUGACGACUGCUGGCUGGGCUCGUAAGAUUCGUUGAAUCAGGCACGCCUCCGCUACUCUCUGCAGCGGGGUUCAGAGGGGACUCCUCCGGCUGCGGCGGGGAGGUGACGGCGGCGGGAGGCCGACGCAGACCAGGGGGCCCAUUGUAAAGUGUUGAGGUCCUUUUUGCAAAUAUUCGGAUCGCGCUUAUUCAUCGCGAUCCAAAUUAGGGUCUAUUUGUAAAGUUUAGGGGGCUAUUUGCAAAUACUUGGAUCGCGACUAUUGAUCGCGAUCCAAAUCAGGGAGCUUCCUGCAAAUGUUUU
rnacentral:lncRNA from 1 species